rnacentral:rRNA from 1 species
UACGGGAUAAUAUAUUUGAGAGGCAUCUCUUGAAUAUCAAAGGUGAGCCAGUACAGGAUGGACCCGCGUCUGAUUAGCUAGUUGGUAAGGUAACGGCUUACCAAGGCGACGAUCAGUAGCCGACCUGAGAGGGUGAUCGGCCACAUUGGAACUGAGACACGGUCCAAACUCCUACGGGAGGCAGCAGUGGGGAAUAUUGCACAAUGGGCGAAAGCCUGAUGCAGCAACGCCGCGUGAGUGAUGAAGGCCUUCGGGUCGUAAAACUCUGUCCUCAAGGAAGAUAAUGACGGUACUUGAGGAGGAAGCCCCGGCUAACUACGUGCCAGCAGCCGCGGUAAUACGUAGGGGGCUAGCGUUAUCCGGAUUUACUGGGCGUAAAGGGUGCGUAGGCGGUCUUUCAAGUCAGGAGUGAAAGGCU